CUUUCAGUCAGAUGUUUGCAGC
rnacentral:miRNA from 3 species